UACGAAGGGGGCUAGCGUUGUUCGGAAUUACUGGGCGUAAAGGGCGCGUAGGCGGUUGCUCAAGUCAGGCGUGAAAGCCCCGGGCUCAACCUGGGAAUAGCGCUUGAGACUGGGCGGCUUGAGUUCGGGAGAGGUGAGUGGAAUUCCGCGUGUAGCAGUGAAAUGCGUAGAGAUGCGGAGGAACACCGAUGGCGAAGGCAGCCCCCUGGGCUAACACUGACGCUCAGGCACGAAAGCGUGGGGAGCAAACAGG
rnacentral:rRNA from 1 species